GACGAACGCUGGCGGCGUGCCUAAUACAUGCAAGUCGAGCGGAACUGGGGGAGCUUGCUCCUUCCAGUUUAGCGGCGGACGGGUGAGUAACACGUGGGCAACCUGCCCUGCAGAUCGGGAUAACUCCGGGAAACCGGUGCUAAUACCGAAUAGUUUGGCGCCUCUCCUGAGGCGCCACGGAAAGACGGUUUCGGCUGUCAAUGCAGGAGGGGCCCGCGGCGCAUUAACUAGUUGGUGGGGUAACGGCCCACCAAGGCGACGAUGCGUAGCCGACCUGAGAGGGUGACCGGCCAAACUGGGACGGAGACACGGCCCAGACUCCUACGGGAGGCAGCAGUAGGGAAUCUUCCGCAAUGGACGCAAGUCUGACGGAGCAACGCCGCGUGAGUGACGAAGGUUUUCGGAUCGUAAAACUCUGUUGUGAGGGAAGAACACGUACCAACUAACUAUUGGUACCUUGACGGUACCUCACCAGAAAGCCACGGCUAACUACGUGCCAGCCGCCGCCGUAA
rnacentral:rRNA from 1 species